ensembl:snoRNA
UGCCUUUAUGUGUUGCCCUUUCAUUGUUCCCUUAGUGAUCGGGGUGUCAAAUAAGGCAUACAAUGACACUUGUGGCUGUUUGGUAAAAUUGGUUUCACGUGACUUCUUUUCAUUAACAGCUGCAAGGACAUUU